CACCCAGAUCCUUCUUACACUCAGGCUGUGGAAACAGAAGAUGGGGUCUCAUCUCUACCCACCCGAGGAGAAGAAGAAGGUGAAGCCAGCCUGGAGAAGGAACUCAGGAGCUCUGCCGUGACACAGGCCUUCCCCGAAGACCUUCAGACUUUCCAGGGUUUUUUUUUUUUUUUUAACCACACAGGAUGUGGGGCUGUAUCUGACUCAGGAGGCUCAGGAGGAAGUGCUAGUCUCUGAGGCAAGUCUGUUGCUCCAUCACAGGUGUAAGGCAACUGUGGCCUUGAUCUGGUGUUGCACAUACCUGGGAGGAAGAACCAUCAUUUUACAGAGCAGCUGUGCAGCAACUCGUAUUAUUUGGUCAUCCUCCCUUCCACCCUCCCCUGCACCUGGUCCAGCAGAGGCUAGACUAUAUCUCUUUUGCAGUGCUCGCUCCGGUCCAGGGCUUUUUACUGGAAAUGUUGGCAUCCCUCUCCCUGACCAUCCAACAAGGCUCAACUCCAUUGCCCACACCUAUGAAAUUAUAUAAGAAUUGCUUCCUCUUCAUCCUUGUCUAUUCCAGAAGUCUCCUACCUUGGCUUCCAAAGUGCUGG
rnacentral:lncRNA from 1 species